GGGAGAGAGGGUGAUAGCAUGAGGAAGAUGUGGACAUAAGCUUCUUUUUCUUCCAAGAUGGAAGAUGUUCACAGGAUGUUAAGAAUAAUUCUGCAGAGAGAUAAAUACUGAUUUAGAAGACCAAAGAGAGAUAGACCAAAAGGCUGGAGUCCUUGGGACAUUGUAAGAAGCAGUUGUUGUGAGAGUGAUCUACCUCGAUGCUAAGAGAGAAGGAAUGAAAGAUGAGUGUGUGGAGGAGGUGCGGGCAAGAUGGAGCCAAGGAGCCCACAGGUGUUGGGGCCUGAUGGGAGCCCAGGCCGUCCGGCCCCAGAAGCCACUUCCAACCCCCACUCCUUUAGCCUCCCUGCAUCUUGUGGCUCACCCUCGACCCGAAGUACCUGACAACAGCGCCGUGCGGCGAGUCCUAUCGCAAACCAGCACAGAGUGGGCGCCCAAUAAAUACUUGCUGAAAGAAGGCAAAUGAACAAAUGCAAAAAUAUGGUUAAAAAAACCACACGCGGGGGCAAGUCAUCGGGGAAAUGGCCUGGGGGCUAUUCAUCAUAUUCUCCAGUCCAAGAAAAAUGUGAUAAGUUGGACACUUUUGCAUGUUCCAGAAGAAAAAAUGACUGUUCUGAGCACAGAGCCCUAAAUCCUUCUGUGUCCAGACAUGUGAUGGACCAGAGCCAAAAGCCAAUGUACAUCUGAAAAGAACUCCCUCGAAUGAAUAUAUUUACAUUUAUUCCAUAAACCUGCGCUUCCUUUCCAAGCAAUGACAUCCAUCAGCCACUCUUCAAAGUCACUCUCGCUGAGUCUUGGAGCCCGUGUUUACUUCAUCAGCUGCUCGAAGUGAAAAUCUCGAGGGCCUCCAGCAGGGAAAAUCAGUUUCAAGUGUUUUUAAAGCUCAGUUCUUGAUAGCAUUGGAGCUGGCUCAUCAUGAAGAAAAUUAAGACCUCCAGCCUCUAGAACUGUGAGAACAUCAGCUUCUAUUGUUUAAGCCGCCCAGCCAGUGGUCCAUUUUCAAGGCAGCCCUAAAAACUAGAACAUUUCCCUCGCGGGAGCACAGCAGGAAAAUCUGCAGAGGAUGGAGGAAAGGAAAUCAGCCUGAACGACAGGUCUGUAGACGGGAACGGGAAUUCCUGGUACGGGGUAGGAGAUACUCAUUUGAACCAGAUGAAAUUGCUGAUACUUGACUUCUUCUGGACCAUACAAGCGGCAAUUUCACAUGGUUCAGCCCCAUAUUAGCAAGGGGCCUGGAGCAAGAGUGUGGCUCCCUAUCACAAUGGUGAAUGAUGACAGACCGUGAUAGACCCUCAUGGUCACAAAGUAUCCACCCUAUUCCGUGACUGGGGGCAAGUUUCCUCUCAGACCCUCAGUUUCUUCUUCUAUGAAAUGAGGACAAAAACUUGUACUUACCUCACAUGAUUGUUGGGAGCUUAAAAGUAGAUGAUGCCCAUAAGUGCUUAGCACAGGGCCUGGGACAUAGUCAGAGAGCUCAAUACAUGUUAGGAUAGCUUUAAGGACUCGCCAUGAUGCAGGCAAUAAGAGCUAAAUCAAAAUAGCUUCAGAGGAAAAGGAGGAUGGUUGGAAGGACAAGGUGCCUCACAGAACACAAAGAAAGAGCUUAGUUCGGUGGUUCUCAAAUGGGGAUGAUUUUGCCCUCCGGGGGAUAUUUGGCAACGUCUAGAAAUAUUGUUGGUUGCCACAACCACGGAGGUGCUACUGGCAUCUAGUGGGUAGAAGCCAGAGACGCCACUCAACAUCCUACAAAGCCCAGAACAGCCCCACGACAAAGAGUUUUCUGGUCUCAAAUGUCAACGGUGUUGUUAUUGAGAAACCUCUGACCAACAGCUGGGGAGUGACCAGGAGGUGACUCAAGAUCGAUGUGUCCUGGCCUUUAAGUUUUUGUCUCCUGGCCCCAAGCUCUCCUCUCCCCUCUUCUCUGUGAUGCUGGGGUUGAGUCUCUACAAGUCACAUUUCUGCUUUGCUGACUGGUUCCAUGUCAGGCUCUGUCAAAGGCAAGGGAUGCUAGAGUCUGGGAGAUUGGAGGAGGUGAAGGGCUCAGCCCUGCCAGUUGGCUUGCUGCUCCGGACUGUCUCUACCCCAGCACCCAGCUGGUUCCAGUAGUGAUUGAUUCCAGUUUCUAGCUUUGUUUUGUACACCUGUAACCUUCCUCAUGGUGACCCCUCAGAGAUAUCGGUGCCAGCCAGCCAGCACCCUCUCCCUGAGGUCAGCCCAUGGAGACUUCUAGUGAGUUCUAGAGGCACCAGCACUAACAGGACAGUCCCCUUUAGAGGUUUGAGUCACAGAUGUGCACACCGCUCUUCCAAACCUAUAGGUUCUGGUAAUUCCAACUUCUUCCAUUUGUUCCCUUAGCCUUAUGGAUAUCAGUUACCUCCUGACAUUAUUCUCUUUGUUUGAUUUCAGUGUUCCCUUUUUGCCUCUAGAACUUCACGAUACCUUUUAGCCAAUGCUCAUUACGGGCAUACCUAGGAGAUCUUGCUGGUUCAGUUCCAGCCUACCACAAUAAAGCAAAUAUCGUGAUAAAGUAAGUCGAAUGAAUUUUUUGGCUUCCCAGUGCACAUAAAAGUUGUAUUUGUACUAUGCUCUAGUUUAUGAAGUGUCCAAUAGCAUUAUGCUAAAAAAUAAUGUACCUACCUUAAUUAAAAAAUACUUUAUUGCUAAAAAUGCUAUCAUCUGCUUUCAGUGAGUUGUAAUUAUUGAUCACAGAUCACCACAGCAAAUAGAAUAAAGAGAAUUUUGAAAUAUUGUGAGAAUUAUCCAAAUGUGACAAGAGACAAAGUGAGAAAAUGCUGUCGGAAAAAUGGUGCUGAUACAAAUUAUGGAAGCAGCCCAAGUGUCCAUCGAUAGAUGAAUGGAUAAAGAUGUGGUGUACAUAUACAAUGGAAUAUUAUUCAGCCAUAAAAAGAAUGAAAUCUU